GAUGAACGCUGGCGGCGUGCCUAAUACAUGCAAGUCGAGCGAACGGACGAGAAGCUUGCUUCUCUGAUGUUAGCGGCGGACGGGUGAGUAACACGUGGAUAACCUACCUAUAAGACUGGGAUAACUUCGGGAAACCGGAGCUAAUACCGGAUAAUAUUUUGAACCGCAUGGUUCAAAAGUGAAAGACGGUCUUGCUGUCACUUAUAGAUGGAUCCGCGCUGCAUUAGCUAGUUGGUAAGGUAACGGCUUACCAAGGCAACGAUGCAUAGCCGACCGGAGAGGGUGAUCGGCCACACUGGAGCUGAGACACGGUCCAGACUCCUACGGGAGGCAGCAGUAGGGAAUCUUCCGCAAUAGUCGAAAGCCUGACGGAGCAACGCCGCGUGAGUGAUGAAGGUCUUCGGAUCGUAAAACUCUGUUAUUAGGGGAGAACAUAUGUGUAAGUAACUGUGCACAUCUUGACGGUACCUAAUCAGAAAGCCACGGCUAACUACGUG
rnacentral:rRNA from 1 species